rnacentral:ncRNA from 1 species
UUGGGUGUCAAUGACUUAAUAGGGAAGCCGGUAGAAGCCGGCGCGGUCCCGCCACUGUAACAGGGAGCGGCUCGCAAGUACGUCACUGGGGGAAACCUUGGGAAGGCGCGAAGCUGCUAUGAACUGGAGCCAGGAGAACUGCCCAAUU